GCCCCCCUUUUUAACAUUUAAACAACAAACAUUCCGGUCUACUUGAUUCACUUUCCCAUCCCAAAUAAAAUUCCAUAUUAUCUUAUUCAAUUCUUUUUUGUAUUUUUCGGGUAUACCUAUUAUUUCUAACUCAUAUCCAAACACUGAUAUAAUUAUUUUUUUAAUAAUAAGGACUUUUCCAGAGUAAGUCAAUUUUCGACUU
rnacentral:lncRNA from 1 species